rnacentral:rRNA from 1 species
UAACGGCGCACCAAGGCGACGAUCGGUAGCUGGUCUGAGAGGACGAUCAACCACACUGGGACUGAGACACGGCCCAGACUCCUACGGGAGGCAGCAGUGGGUAAUCUUGCGCAAUGGGCGAAAGCCUGACGCAGCACCGCCUCGUGGGGGAAGAAGGCCUUCGGGUUGUAAACCUCUUUCAGGGGGGACGAAUCUUCCAGGGUUAAUAGCCCAUGGGGUGACGGUACCUUAAGAAGAAGCCCCGGCUAACUACGUGCCAGCAGCCGCGGUAAUACGUAGGGGGCAAGCGUUGUCCGGAAUUAUUGGGCGUAAAGAGCGUGUAGGCGGCUUGGUAAGUCUGGUGUGAAACCUUGGGGCUUAACCCCCAAUCCUGCACUGGAUACUGCCUCGCUAUAGUCCGGGAGGGGGAGAGCGGAAUUCCUAGUGUAGCGGUGAAAAUG